rnacentral:tRNA from 1 species
CAGAGUGUAGCUAAAUAGAAAAGCAUCUCACUUACACCGAGAAGUUAUUCGUGCAAAUCGAAUUACCCUGA